rnacentral:rRNA from 1 species
AAUCUUCCGCAAUGGGCGCAAUCCUUCGGACCAAUUCCGCCUGAGGGAAGAAUGCGGUUGGGUUGUAAACCUCUUUUCUUAGGGAAGAAUUAGGACGGUACCUAUCGAAUAAGCAUCGGGUAACUCCGUGCCAGCAGCCGCGGUAAUACGGGGGAUGCAAGCGUUAUCCGGAAUCAUUGGGCGUAGAGCGUCAGUAGGUGGCGUAGUAAGUAUGUUGUUAAAUAAUAGAGCUUAACUCUAAAUCAGCAGUGGAAACUAUUAAACAAGAGUAUGGUAUGGGCAAAGGGAAUUACCAUUGUAGCGGUGAAAUGCGAAUAUAUUAGGAAGAACACCAGUAGCGAAAGCGCUUUGCUCCCCUUACAAGACACUCAGAGACGAAAGUUAAGGUAGGGAGGGGGCUGAGACACCCCCGUACUCUUAGCCGUA